rnacentral:rRNA from 1 species
UACGUAGGGGGCCAACGUUGUCCGGAAUCAUUGGGCGUAAAGCGCGCGUAGGCGGCCAGAUAAGUCCGGUGUGAAAGUCAAAGGCUCAACCUUUGAAUGCCGCUGGAAACUGUCUGGCUUGAGUCCGGAAGGGGCGAGUGGAAUUCCUGGUGCAGCGGUGAAAUGCGCAGAUAUCAGGAGGAACACCAAUGGCGAAGGCAGCUCGCUGGAACGGUACUGACGCUGAGGCGCGAAAGCGUGGGGAGCGAACAGG